rnacentral:rRNA from 1 species
GAUGAACGCUGGCGGCGUGCCUAAUACAUGCAAGUCGAGCGAACGGACGAGAAGCUUGCUUCUCUGAUGUUAGCGGCGGACGGGUGAGUAACACGUGGAUAACCUACCUAUAAGACUGGGAUAACUUCGGGAAACCGGAGCUAAUACCGGAUAAUAUUUUGAACCGCAUGGUUCAAAAGUGAAAGACGGUCUUGCUGUCACUUAUAGAUGGAUCCGCGCUGCAUUAGCUAGUUGGUAAGGUAACGGCUUACCAAGGCAACGAUGCAUAGCCGACCUGAGAGGGUGAUCGGCCACACUGGAACUGAGACACGGUCCAGACUCCUACGGGAGGCAGCAGUAGGGAAUCUUCCGCAAUGAGCGAAAGCCUGACGUAGCAACGCCGCGUGAGCGAUGAAGGUCUUCGGAUCGUAAAACUCUGUUAUUAGGGAAGAACAUAUGUGUAAGUAACUGUGCACAUCUUGACGGUACCUAAUCAGAAAGCCACGGCUAACUACGUG